UACGGAGGGUGCAAGCGUUGUUCGGAAUUACUGGGCGUAAAGCGUACGUAGGCGGCUUAUUAAGUCAGGCGUGAAAGCCCCGGGCUCAACCUGGGAACUGCGUUUGAUACUGGUAGGCUAGAGGCCUGAAGAGGAGAGUGGAAUUCCUAGUGUAGAGGUGAAAUUCGUAGAUAUUAGGAGGAACACCAGUGGCGAAGGCGACUCUCUGGUCAGGUUCUGACGCUGAGGUACGAAAGCGUGGGGAGCAAACAGG
rnacentral:misc_RNA from 1 species